rnacentral:rRNA from 1 species
CCUACGGGUGGCAGCAGUGGGGAAUAUUGCGCAAUGGGCGAAAGCCUGACGCAGCGACGCCGCGUGAGGGAUGAAGGUCUUCGGAUCGUAAACCUCUGUCAGCAGGGAAGAACGGUCACUGUGCUAAUCAGCAGUGAAUUGACGGUACCUGCAACGGAAGCACCGACUAACUCCGUGCCAGCCGCCGCGGUAAUACGGAGGGUGCGAGCGUUAAUCGGAAUUACUGGGCGUAAAGCGCUCGUAGGCGGUAUGUCAAGUCAAGGGUGAAAUCCCCGCGCUCAACGUGGGAACUGCCUUUGAAACUGGCAAACUGGAGUGUGUGAGAGGAUAGUGGAAUUCCAGGUGUAGGAGUGAAAUCCGUAGAUAUCUGGAGGAACAUCAGUGGCGAAGGCGACUAUCUGGCACAUAACUGACGCUGAGGAGCGAAAGCGUGGGUAGCAAACAGGAUUAGAUACCCCAGUAGUC